rnacentral:lncRNA from 1 species
GAGAAAGGAGGGUCUAACAUAGCACAUCUCUAAUGUUUCUCAAAAUUAUUUUGCAAAACAUUAUAAAAAUAUACUGUAGAUAGCAGAAUCAAAUGGAAAAGAAGAAGAUAAUGUACCAGCAGGGAAGUUACAAGAAGAAGGAUCAUCAUUGCUUAAUGGGACGUUUCCAUCCAAUCCUGUAUUGAAAUAAAAUUGACAAAAAUUAAACAAAUGCAAGCAAGAUGCAAAAGAACUUUGUACAUCUGGAGGCCCACCUGAUACAUGAAUCAAGUCGUCAUUUCCAUCCAAAUCUCUCUCAUGUAUCCAUUCAUCAUUGUCAUCCAGAUAUCCCCUAUGUAGCCGGUCAUCGUUUUCAUCUUUGAUCAUGGAUAUACCGCCA